rnacentral:rRNA from 1 species
GUUGCUACCAGGUAAUGCUGGGCACUCUGGUGAGACUGCCCGGUUAACGGGAGGAAGGUGGGGACGACGGUCAAGUCAUCAUGGCCCUUACGCCUAGGGCUACACACGUACUACAAUGGCGCAUACAAAGGGCAGCGAUACCGCGAGGUGGAGCCAAUCCCAAAAAGUGCGUCCCAGUCCGGAUUGCAGUCUGCAACUCGACUGCAUGAAGUUGGAAUCGCUAGUAAUUCGAGAUCAGCAUGCUCGGGUGAAUGCGUUCCCGGGCCCUU